rnacentral:rRNA from 1 species
GACGAACGCUGGCGGCGUGCCUAAUACAUGCAAGUAGAACGCUGAAGGAGGAGCUUGCUUCUCUGGAUGAGUUGCGAACGGGUGAGUAACGCGUAGGUAACCUGCCUGGUAGCGGGGGAUAACUAUUGGAAACGAUAGCUAAUACCGCAUAAUAGCAGUUAUUGCAUGAUAACUGUUUGAAAGGUGCAAAUGCAUCACUACCAGAUGGACCUGCGUUGUAUUAGCUAGUUGGUGGGGUAACGGCUCACCAAGGCGACGAUACAUAGCCGACCUGAGAGGGUGAUCGGCCACACUGGGACUGAGACACGGCCCAGACUCCUACGGGAGGCAGCAGUAGGGAAUCUUCGGCAAUGGACGGGAAGUCUGACCGAGCAAACGCCGCGUGAGUGAAGAAGGUUUUCGGAUUCGUAAAAGCUUCUGUUGUAAAG